rnacentral:rRNA from 1 species
GGGUGAAAUCUGGUGUUGUUAAGUAAUAGAAUAUAGUUUUAAAGGGUUUUGAGGCCAUUAAGGUUUUGGUAUAGAACAGGAUUAGAUACCCUGUUAUACAAAGUUAAAAGUUAAUCUCUUGAGUAGUAAACAGUUAUAUUCUCGAAACUUAAAGGAUUUGGCGGUAUCUUAGUCUUGUUAGAGGAACCUGUUCUGUAAACGAUAUACCACGAAUUAUCUUACUUUCUCUUGUAUCUCAGUUUGUAUACCGCCAUUGUCAGGUAGUUUUUAUAAAAAUCUAUUGUAAGAAUUGUUAGUUAAUAUAUUAGGUCAAGGUGCAGCUAAUGGGAGAGUAGUUAAUGGGUUACAUUAACAUUGGUUUAUAACGGAUAGGAAGGAUAAGGCUUCUUUGAAGGUGGAUUUAAUAGUAAUUGUUGUUUAAUAAGCUGUACUGAUAGAAGCUCUAAGAUAUGUA